GGAUGCGAUCAUACCAGCACUAAAGCACCGGAUCCCAUCAGAACUCCGAAGUUAAGCGUGCUUUGGCGAGAGUAGUACUAGGAUGGGUAACCUCCUGGGAAGUCCUCGUGUUGCAUUCC
rnacentral:rRNA from 2 species